GAUGAAGAACGUAGUGAAAUGCGAUAAGUAAUGUGAAUUGCAGAAUUCAGUGAAUCAUCGAAUCUUUGAACGCACAUUGCGCCCGCCAGUAUUCUGGCGGGCAUGCCUGUUCGAGCGUCAUUACAACCCUCAGGCCCCCGGGCCUGGCGUUGGGGAUCGGCGGAAGCCCCCUGUGGGCACACGCCGUCCCUCAAAUACAGUGGCGGUCCCGCCGCAGCUUCCAUUGCGUAGUAGCUAACACCUCGCAACUGGAGAGCGGCGCGGCCAUGCCGUAAAACACCCAACUUCUGAAUGUUGACCUCGAAUCAGGUAGGAAUACCCGCUGAACUUAAGUAUAUCAAUAAGCGGAGGA
rnacentral:misc_RNA from 1 species